UUAUGAAGACACUUGUAAAAAUGACUAACUGGUACAUUAUCAUCUGACCGGCUACUUAUUAAGGUUUCCACUGUUGUAUUCUUGGCUCUCCAGCAGCAGCUCAUCACCAUGGCAACGCUGCACGCUCACAGUGUGGAUGCAUGAAGGGUGCUUGGGUGCGACUUCUUCACCUCAGCUAACCCAGAACACCAAUUGAAUGCAUCAUCUCUGGGCAAAAGGAUAACCAUCAAGGCUUCCUCCUACUGAGGUAACCACUUCACCGGAAGUAUGAGCUGCAGCCACAGAGGAUCAUCUAUGGGGGCGUUAAAUCCAACGCCAUCAGUUCUGAUCACGACGUCACACACAGAUUUCUCUCCAGAGUGAGUUCACUACAGACUGCACCAGCCCCGCCAGGACCAUUGGUCUGCUGGAUCCCAGUGUGAGGGACCGGUGGCUCGGCCUGACAGUCUGUUCACACUCAGCAGCCUCCAUCUCCGCGCUUCUGUUGUUCUCUCAUCAAUCGAUAAGUGAAGGUGGGGUCUGUUCAGUGGGGCGUGGACCUCGGCUCCCAGCUGGAGUCUGUGGAGCGCACACAGGAGAGAGAAACGACGUCAAGGCGGACAGAAGGAGGCACAAUCAUA